CACGUAGGGCGCAAGCGUUGUCCGGAAUUAUUGGGCGUAAAGCGCGUGUAGGCGGUCCGGUAAGUCCGCUGUGAAAGUCGGGGGCUCAACCCUCGAAUGCCGGUGGAUACUGUCGGGCUAGAGUGCGGAAGAGGCGAGUGGAAUUCCUGGUGUAGCGGUGAAAUGCGCAGAUAUCAGGAGGAACACCAAUUGCGAAGGCAGCUCGCUGGGACGUAACUGACGCUGAGACGCGAAAGCGUGGGGAGCAAACAGG
rnacentral:rRNA from 1 species